rnacentral:rRNA from 1 species
UCUUAAAGGAAUUGACGGAAGGGCACCACCAGGAGUGGAGCCUGCGGCUUAAUUUGACUCAACACGGGGAAACUUACCAGGUCCAGACAUUGGCAGGAUUGACAGGGUGCUUGCUCUUUCUUGAUUCUUUGGGUGGUGGUGCAUGGCCGUUCUUAGUUGGUGGAGUGAUUUGUCUGGUUAAUUCCGAUAACGAACGAGACCUUAACCUGCUAACUAGUCGCCGUUCAUCCGAGCAGUGGACUUCUUAGAGGGACUUUGGGGGCUACUCCAAGGAAGUUUGAGGCAAUAACAGGUCUGUGAUGCCCUUAGAUGUCCUGGGCCGCACGCGCGCUACACUGACGCAGGCAGUAAGUCUCCGUGGCAGACAUGCCUCGGUAACCUCCAAACUGCGUCGUGAUGGGGAUUGACUCUUGGAAUUUUUGGUCAUCAACGAGGAAUUCCUAGUAAACGCAAGUCAUCAGCUUGCAUUGAUUACGUCCCUGCCCUUUGUACACACCGCCCGUCGCUCCUACCGAUUUCGAGUGAUGAGGUGAACCCUCCGGACUGCUCACCUUGUGAGUGGAAAGUUGAGUAAAUCUUAUCACUUAGAGGAAGGAGAAGUCGUAACAAGGUAUCUGUAGGUGAACCUGCAGAUGGAUCAUUAACA